UACGGAGGGAGCUAGCGUUGUUCGGAAUUACUGGGCGUAAAGCGCACGUAGGCGGCUUUUUAAGUCAGAGGUGAAAGCCCGGGGCUCAACCCCGGAACUGCCUUUGAAACUAGAUGGCUUGAAUCUUGGAGAGGCGAGUGGAAUUCCGAGUGUAGAGGUGAAAUUCGUAGAUAUUCGGAAGAACACCAGUGGCGAAGGCGACUCGCUGGACAAGUAUUGACGCUGAGGUGCGAAAGCGUGGGGAGCAAACAGG
rnacentral:rRNA from 1 species